AUCUUUUGUGACUUGAACUUUUAGAUCUGAAAUAACACUUUCUCUCUCGCUCCUCUCUUUCUUUUUCUACAAGAUAUCGUUUAUUCAACAUGGUAUACAGAGCAUAACAGGUUUCCGAUCCAUGGGCAAAAUUCGUCAUUUUCCGUGGAAUGUAUUGGUUGAUGAGGAAACUGGAGGUCAGCACGACGAGGAGCUGAUUACCAAGAAUGGAUCGCGUUUCAAAGCCGAAGGAAGUCGGCGAACGGAGAGAAUGACUGAGCAAUCUCUGGAUAACAAGCAGAUCGAGGAGAUCCUACAACUUCACAACGCCAAUUAUCCAGGAAUGCAACUGGUAGCAGCACAGUUAACUGGUAACAACUUUCUUAACUGGAGUAGAUCAGUCAAGCGUGUAUUAGGAGCUAAGAGUAAGCUUGAAUUACUCGAUGGCACUUUGCCAGAACCUGAUUUUAAUUCUCCAUACUACAAAGCCUGGGUUAAAGCGGAUUAUAUGGUGUCCUCAUGGAUUAUUAAUUCUAUAUCUAAGGAAUUAGUGAAUGUCUUUGUUCAUACUGAGAAUACACAAAAACUAUGGGAUGCUCUAAGUCAAAGGUUUGGUAGGAGUAAUGGGCCUAAGAUUUAUAGAAUUCAGAGGGAAAUUAGUGGGUAUACGCAAGGAAAUCAAAGUGUUCUAGUCUAUUUUAAUAACUUGACAGCUCUUUGGGAUGAAUUAGACAUGUUUUUACUACCAUUAGCUUGUGUUUGUGGUACACGAGAAACAGGAGUGAAUAGAAAAGAAAAUCAGCAUUUGAUGCAGUUUUUACUUGGUUUAAAUGAUGCCUUUGAAAGUGCUCGUACUCAGAUCUUAUUCUUAGAUCCACUGCCGAGUGUAAAUCGUGCAUAUUCUAUGGUUCUCCAAAUUGAAGAUCAAAAAAUGACAGUUGAGAAUUUUGGAGAUGCACAUGCUAUGCAGUUCAUGGCAGUGGGUAAGCUAGGGAAUGGUAGAGGAAAUGAGGUUCCAAAUAAAAAAGCAACAACAGCCAUAUAAGGGAAGAAUGACUAAGGAAGAGAGAUUGAAGCUCUACUGCACUCAUUGUGACCGUGAUGGUCAUGAAGAGAAUGAAUGAUUUAAGCUACAUGGCUUUCCAGACUGGUACAAGCGUUUGAAGGAAGGAAAAGGGAAAUUAAAGGUUAAUUGUGUAGAGGCAGUGUCUGAAAGAGAAGCAGGACAUCAUGGCAAUUCUAGUGCUGAUACCGACAGGUGACAACUCUCUAGUAAAAUUGAUUUAAACUAAAAUCAAUAAAUGUGUGGGUAGCUUGGUGAAUCAAAAGGUUAAUGCAAAUAUGGUGCAAGGUGGACUGGAUUUUGAGGGCCAUUAUGCUUUCAAUGUGUUCAAGGGCAAGUCACACAAUACUUGGAUACCGGAUUCAGGGGCCAGUACCUAUAUUUGAUGUAACUCUAAAUUACUAAGAGCAAUGCAGCAACUGGAGAAAACUCAAGCUAUUCAUAUGCCUGAUGGAAGUGUGAAGGAAGUCACACAUGUCGGAGAAGCUCAAUUGACUAAUGAGCUAAUCUGGAAACAUGUACUAUCUGCUCUGAGUUUUACACAUAAUCUAAUCUCAGUGGCACAGCUAACUAAGGAUAAUGUUGCAAGGUGCAUGUUCUUAAACACACAUUGUGUUAUUAAGAGGCUGAAUUCAGAUCAUAUAAUAGCAGUUGGGAAGUUACAGAGAAACCUUUAUAUCCUAGAAUCAAGUUUACCACUUGAUUCUGCCUUUGCAGUGCACAAAUCUCAGAAAGCCUUGAAAUGUGGCAUGUGGAGCUAGGCCAUCCUUCCACUGGUGUCAUGGAGCAUAUUCCUCUGCUGGCAGACUUGGUGAAUGACAAGGUUCUGACCAAGCUUAAGAACUGUGAGCCCUUUGGAUGCUUGGCCUAUGUUGUGAAUUUGUCUCCCACAAAGAAGAAGUUUGAUAGCCGUGGAUUGAAGUGCAUAUUUCUUGGAUAUGCCAUGAAUCAAAAGGGAUAUUUGCUCUAUGAUUUGGGUAGUCAUAAGGUGAUUACAUGGAUGGAUGUCAGAUUUAUACCUACUACAUAUCCUUGUCAAACUACUGUCCCUUUAUCAUUCAUUACAGCCUGAGUCUUCUUUUCGCCUACCAUCACUAUCUUUUGUUGAUAAUCCUACUUCACAACCAUCCCUCAUCUCCCAAAAUCAUAUUCCAUCCUCACUUACUGUCAUAUCUUCUCCAGAGCCUGUUAUAUCACCUCAUAUGGAUCAAGCUACUGAAGAACUUGAUCCUGUUCCUACUUCUAAUACUGACAGUUCUAAUAUUCAUGAACCCCCCUGUCAGGUGCAGUACUCGCACUCGCAGACGACCAACUUGGAUGCAAGAUUAUGUGGGUAUCAUUGAUCAUAAUCUUACUUCGUCACAGCCCUCGAAUACUACAUAUACUCCAAAUAUUUUCUCUUACUACACAUAACCCAAUCUCACCCCCCAUUAUACCUUCUUCUUAUACUAAGGCUAGUCAGUCUCAGGAAUGGGUAGCAGCUAUGCAAGCAGAGCUUGAUGCUCUUGAGACUAAUAAUACUUGGAUGUUAACUUCACUACCGACUGGGAAGAGAGCCAUUGGAUCAAAAUGGGUGUAUAAGUUGAAGCUACAUACCGAUGGCACUGUAGAAAGAUACAAAGCUCGCUUGGUGGCCAAAGGAUACAAUCAGGAGUAUGGUAUAGACUAUACUGACGUAUUUUUUCCAGUGGCUAAGCUAGUUACUGUGUGUUUUCUUCUAGCUAUAGCUACCAGAUCCGCUUGGAUUAGGAUCCCCUGCUGUGCACAGCACCAUGCUGUGCACAAAAACAAGGUGAUUUGCAUUUAAAUAGGGAGAAUUAAAAAAAGAAAAAGAAAAUACAAAAAUACUAACUUACCUUGUUUUUGUGCACAGCAUGGUGCUGUGCACAACAGGGGAUCCUAAUCCGAUCCGCUUGGCAUAUACAUCAAAUUGAUGUGAAUAAUGCCUUUCUUCAUGGCUUCUUACAUGAUGAUAUAUAUAUGCAGCCUCCACAGGGAUAUAAUGUCACAGCCAGGGACGGAUCUAAAGGCCAGGCACCCCAAGCCGUCGCCCGGUCAAAUUUUUUUUUUGUUACCUAUAAAUGUAUGAUUUUAAUUUUUUUUAUCUAUAUAUAUUAAUCUCGCCCGGUCAUAAUUGUGCCAUUUCAAAUAAUUAUUCAAGAUUCAACUCGUUUUCUUUAUUAAAACUUUAUUAGAAUCAUCCGGUCUAUGAAUUGAGUUUGUGAUGCAUCUAGUCGCGUCCCUAGUUAGAUAUAAGACUUUGAAUUUAUAGAUUAUUAUCUAUAAAUAUAGAAAUUUAUAUAUAUAUUUUUUUAUUUAUCUCAAUUUAAAUUGGGCCUAAUAAAUCUAUUAUGUUAGGCUUUAUUUAACAUUAGGCCUCUUUAUACUUUGAACUAGGAUUUUUUUUGGAUUUUAUUUUUGACAAGCCCCUUUCAUGGAUACAUAUUAUCGGCCCAACAUUAAGGUAGUGUAGAUAAUUAGCAUUUCACUCUUAUAUUUUUUAAAAAAUUGGUUUUAACGUGUUGCUCAAUUACAUCAGCCAGCUAAUCUUAUUCACCAUAUCUUUCAGCCAUGUAUCACUUCAGAAUCCUAUUUCAUUUAAAUUUCCCCAUGCCCAUCAGCCUUCUUCAUUUUCAUCUUUGAAAAAUUAUGUGAAACUCAAACUUGCUCAGCACAUUUAUUCGAUCAUCUUCUUCCAUAGAGCUUCAAUUGGUAAACUUUUAUUUUCAGUGAUUUUUAAAACAUCAAAGCAAUUCUAUUUUCUCCUAUAUUAUUUUGUGCAGAAACACAACAAACUUUUCCAAAAUAAUUUCUAUUCUUGAAUCAAAUUCAGUAUACACAUGUUUCUAAUCAAACAAUUUUCCUAAAUCAUUCACCUAAUUCGUGAGAAAAACAAAUAGAAUAAAAUUCUACUACUACUUUUCCAGAAGGGAAAUUAGAAAAUUUGGAAUAGAAAAUAGAAGAAGUUGAAGAGGAUUUGGGGCAUAGGGUUUAGAAGAGGAAGAGAGGGCGUCUGGUGGCUGCUGCGGUGCUGCUGUCCCAGCGGCGCUACAGCUGCGCUGUUGACGGCGGGAGUAGAGGCGGCAGCGGCUGGCUGCUCGCCGGAGCAGGGGGCCUGCGUCAGAUGGCUGUCUGGCCGCGACGGAGAGAGAGGUUGGGGGAGAGAGGAAGGCUGGGAAGAAAGGGGUCAGGGAGAGGGGAAGGGAGGCUGGGAAGGAGAGGGAGACGUCGGGCGGCGGCGGCGGAAGACAAGGGAGAUAGAGGGUGCGCUGGUGUGUGAGUGUGUGUGUGAGAGUGUGCGUGUGUGUGUAGUGAGUUAGAGAGAGAGGCAGCUAGAUUUAAUGGAGAAGAAUGGGUGUUGGGCUUUUUAAUUCAUGGACUUUGGGAUGCGGCGCGACUAGGACAUGGAUUUUAAUUUGAAUUAUGAGAAUUACCUUUCAAUUUCAAGUUACAGGUGUGGGAUUUAUUUCAGUACAUACUGUGGUUAAUUCUUGUCCAUUUUAAUAUUAUGUGUUUACCAUAUGUGUUAUGACGUAUAUUUUGAGGAUAUCGCUAGGGGCCCGUUGAAUGGGUUCAGGAUGGAAAGAUCCUUGGUAUGCCACAAUGCGAUAUAAUGUAAAAGUUAAGGUUGCAACCAUUUAAUUAUCGCCAGGGGCCCGUUGAAUGGGUCCAGGACGGAAAGGUCCUUGGUAUGCCACCGUGCGAGCAAAUGUUAAGAAAUGUUAUGAUCAUAUGUGUUACCAUUUUAUUAACGUGGACAAUUAUUGUAUGUUCCCACACUGAGUGUACCCUGUAUGCUCAUCCCAUAUUAAACAUUUUUAGGUUUUAAAGGCUGGAGGCGCGUGGAAGGUCGAAUGGCGAAUCAAAUAUUUUAAAUUUAGUUUUACUUAAAAAUGUUAUGUUUAUUAAAGUAUUUUAAAAUAAGAUAUUUAUUUUUUUUAUUUUCACAUUAAAUAUUUAUUUAUAAUCAUGAUUUU